rnacentral:lncRNA from 1 species
UAAUACCUUUGGCAAAAACUCUACUUGCAGUAUGAUGACCGGAGACACAGCUGUUGGAGGAAAAAAGUUUAUGUCAAUUAAAAUCCUGAAUUUCUCUGAUCUGGAAAGAAAAACUGCUAUGAACUCUUUAGAUGGAGCACUGACACUUGGUUGAGCUAAAAUGCAAACAACCACAGUUUGGCCUCAGCCCUCCUGAGCUAGUUCCUGUUUUCAAAGCUUCACAGGCUGUUGAAACACAGACAUCCUACCUAAUAAUUUUAACUCUGCAAAAAGUGUCUCCAGUGGAAAAGUGUCCAUAUCCAGUAUUCAUUGGUUCAUUUGUGUAAUAAAUAUUUAUGGAGGACGACAAGUGCCAAGAACUGUGCAUAGAGAAACAAUACAGGCAAGACUCUUCUGUAAGAAGCUCAGAGCUCGUGAAGGACAGAGAUAUGUAAACAGAAAAUCAAAUCAAGUCUUUUAAAUUUUGUGAGAAAGUCUACGUAGGGAACAGAAGGUGCAUAGAAGAGAGUGGUCUGAACUAUCUGAGAUGCCAAGGAAGAUUCCACAGGCUUCUCAACUCAGUUACUUUUCAGACGACACUGAAACUGGGACACUAACUUUUCUGGAAUAGCUGAGGAAAGUUUGCUCUGGAUUUCUGGGUGUGUGAAUCUUCUUUCUUGUCUCUGUUCUGAGAAACAUUAAUGAACAUUUGCAUUGAGUAAGAUCUGGCUGUCUGCCCUAUUUGGCUUAACUGGAAUUUUGAAGCAAAUUCUG